rnacentral:misc_RNA from 1 species
UCUCCGUUGGUGAACCAGCGGAGGGAUCAUUACCGAGUUUUCAACUCCCAAACCCCUGUGAACAUACCAUUUUGUUGCCUCGGCGGUGCCUGUUCCGACAGCCCGCCAGAGGACCCCAAACCCAAACUUCCUUGAGUGAGUCUUCUGAGUAACCGAUUAAAUCAAUCAAAACUUUCAACAACGGAUCUCUUGGUUCUG